rnacentral:rRNA from 1 species
GAUGAACGCUGGCGGCGUGCCUAAUACAUGCAAGUCGAGCGAACAGACGAGGAGCUUGCUCCUUUGACGUUAGCGGCGGACGGGUGAGUAACACGUGGGUAACCUACCUAUAAGACUGGGAUAACUUCGGGAAACCGGAGCUAAUACCGGAUAAUAUUUCGAACCGCAUGGUUCGAUAGUGAAAGAUGGCUUUGCUAUCACUUAUAGAUGGACCUGCGCCGUAUUAGCUAGUUGGUAAGGUAACGGCUUACCAAGGCAACGAUACGUAGCCGACCUGAGAGGGUGAUCGGCCACACUGGAACUGAGACACGGUCCAGACUCCUACGGGAGGCAGCAGUAGGGAAUCUUCCGCAAUGGGCGAAAGCCUGACGGAGCAACGCCGCGUGAGUGAUGAAGGCCUUCGGAUCGUAAAACUCUGUUAUUAGGGAAGAACAAACGUGUAAGUAACUGUGCACGUCUUGACGGUACCUAAUCAGAAAGCCACGGCUAACUACGUG